rnacentral:tRNA from 1 species
GGGUAGGGCCAUGACUUAAUGGCAGAGCAUCUGCUUUGCAUGCAGAAGGCCUCAGAUUCAAUCCCUGGCACCUCCCG